rnacentral:lncRNA from 1 species
UCUACCUUAGUCAUCUAUGCCACCCGACUCGGUCUUGAGUCAAUCAACUGCGGAUAAUCCGCGCUCUGGCUGCUCAUCAGCCCCCGCCCUCCUGAUCUAGCCGUCUGGCGGCGAACGAAUCGCACCUCACCCAACAACGGCCUAGGUCAUGACUUAGCCACUCAGUGGCGAAAUCGUCGCACAAACGCCACGACAGUGGUUCAAGUCAACCGGCGAUACCCCUGGGUGGCGAAAUCGUCGCACACACCCAACACCACUUUGGGUGUAUUCUUUUGCCACUCUCGACGCAUUCUUUUAG